AUUGUCACCAUGUAACCUUCUUGCCUGUUAUCUGUUUACUCUGGGGAUGACUCAUGACUAGUCACUAGCCCAGUAACUUUGUAACCUUUCCCCCGGAGAAUGUGUCUGGAUGUCACAGAUCUGUGCCACCUUCAGCUUUCUCUUUUCAGGGCUCAACUUGCUUCCAACAAUAUCACUAGUUUUUAUGAGUGUUAUGUGAAGCCGCAAUUAGACAACAUCUCCUCAUCUGCCCUAGCAUGCAGGAUGGGGUUCUGUCUUCUGCGUGGAGCAUGAUGGGUGAGAGGAAGCAGAGGCUGGAGAGAUGGAGGACCCACAGUUUGAAAGGAGAUGAACCCCACAGGACGCUUCCACAGAGUGAUGCUGGCCAGCCCACCUUGGACCACAGGAAGCUCCCUAAGAAAAAGGUUGGGUGAAUUGAGCAGAGAAACAGUUGUCUCAGCAGGGAAGAGCUCUCCUUCAGUUCUCCAUGAUCCAGAGAAUGAGGAUCUGUAUGAGGGGCUUUGAGAGAGAAAGAGCCCGUGAGGAUGAAGGCAUCUGCUAUAGUUAAGUAAGCCACUGACAAAUUUUAAGCCAGAAAGGAUGGCCUCAAGUGGGUUUUAUUUUCUUCUUUCACUGGCCAUUUGGAAGCCACUGGCCUAGCAGCCAUUGUGGAACUGGGUAUGUACGUAGGAGACUCAUGUUCCCUUCUGUUCUCAUUUUAUCCCCUUCCCCAAUGACCCGUGCUGUGCUCUGAAUAUCUCUUUAUGCCCCAGUAUAUGUAUUUGUGUAUGUAUAGUGUGUGUGUGUUAUAUAGCAUAAUAGAUGCUACUUUAGCAUAUUUACUCUCAUAGACCCUGAGAUACACAUUCAGAACCCUGUUUUGUGGAAGAAACCAAGGUUAACAGAAAUCUACUAACUUGUCUUUUUAAAAAAGACAUCUCAUUCAUUAUGAGAAGUUGUUCAACUCCUCUCUUCCCCAACCUAUUGUAAACAUGAGGGUACCCACUAGCGCAGGUGUCCGUUGUAGUCACGGAGCUUGGGACCACCCAUGAACUCUCAGAACCAGUUAGGAACAGAACCCAGGCCCCCAACUCCUGGACAGAGCACCUUUGUUCUGCCCUACCUCCAGCCCUGACUGUGUAGGCUCUGGGCCUGCUGCGGAUGGAACCUUCUCUGCUGGCGUACAGACAUCCCUUACAACCAGAGCCCUCAUUGCUCUCUCAAGUCCAACCAAGUACUUGGAAACAGGCUUUCGUGCUAGAUUUCCAUCUAGCCAGAGAGUCAACAUUACAGAGAGCUUAGUGCAGGCUCAGAGGGAGCUGGUGGCUCUUCAAAGUCACACAGCUGAUUACCAGAAAGCUCCUCUCUCAGUGGAGGUUGCCACAUCCCUUGGAAACCUACCCUGUGGUGCUUAGAGUGUGGCUCCGUUCAUCUAAAAGUGCAGAGAGUACAUUUCAUUUGGCCUGCUUCUAAAACUAAGCUAUUGACUGUAUUUCAAUAGAAGAGGUG
rnacentral:lncRNA from 1 species